UGGGUUGUGACUCAGUGGUAGAGUGCUCGCCUAGCAUGUGCGAGGCCCUGGGUUCGAUCCUCAGCACCACAU
rfam:Ictidomys tridecemlineatus contig121760, whole genome shotgun sequence.